rnacentral:rRNA from 1 species
CACGUAGGGCGCGAGCGUUGUCCGGAAUUAUUGGGCGUAAAGGGUGUGUAGGCGGUUGCUUAAGUUUGGUGUGAAAUCUCCCGGCUUAACUGGGAGGGUGCGCCGAAUACUGAGUGACUAGAGUGCGGGAGAGGAGAGUGGAAUUCCUGGUGUAGCGGUGAAAUGCGUAGAUAUCAGGAGGAACACCGGUGGUGUAGACGGCUCUCUGGACCGUAACUGACGCUGAGACACGAAGGCGUGGGUAGCAAACAGG